UCAGUCCCUGGUCAGGGAACUAAGAUCCCACAAGCCAUGCAGUGCAGCCAAAAGAAAAAAAAAAAAGGGACCAUAGAAAUUUCAUUCUGAAAUUUUUCAUAUAUGAAAUUUCAUAAUGCAGAAUAUACAGCUAUUAAAAGGCAAAAGGCUUGGAACAGUUCUUGUAGAUAUUCUUCUUACUGACUUCUGCUAAAGAAAGAUGACUUCCUUAACUUAAUUAAUGCCUGUAAGCGUGAGGGUGAUGAUUAUAUAUGGUAUUGUUAGUUAUCCUGUUCUUUUUCUUCUCUCUUUCUCACUCUCUCUUUUUAAAGAUUUUUCUAUUUUUCGUAUCCUCUCCUGAUUUUUCCACCUGUCUUUCAGUUGUUCUGUAUCUACAUUGAAAAUAUAUAGAGACAUUGCGUACUAUACUAUCUCCUUUAUAAUCAUAAUUUAGCCUUAGGUCUUAAUCAUAAUUUAAUGUUCAGUCCUUAUGUUGGAUAUCUCCCACAUCAUUUUGUGUGAUGAGAGCUUAAAGUAGGUUCUUUAGAAGACUCUGUAAGAAGGGCUCAUGGGAGCAAUAUUUCCUAAGUAUAUUCAUAACAGUUUAUCUGUAGCCUUGUUAUACUAGUGAACAAGUUUAGCUGGCUAUAGAAUCCUUGAUAUGGGAAUUUUCUUAUUUUUUUCUUGAAUGCCUCAAUUUUUCUCUUCUUGAAUACUUAAAAUAUAUUAUUUCUUUGUCUUGUGGCAUAAGUAUAGCUGUUGGAAAGUCUAAUUGCAAUCUUAUUAUUUUUCCUUAUAAAUGACUUCAUCUUUUUUGUGUGGUAGUCCAAAGAAUUUUUAUCUUUUCAUUUAAAAUAUAAUAUCUUUUACUAGAAUAAUCUCAGGGUUGGCUAUUCUAAGUUGAUUGCCCUAAGUUCGGGAAAUUUGAUUUAAAUAUGUAGAUUUAUAUCAUCUUUUAUUUCGUGAACAUUUCUUUAAAUUUAUUUAUUUAUUUAUUUAUUUAUGGCUGCGCUGGGUCUUAGUUGUGGCAUGCGGAAUCUUUGUUGUGGCAUGCAGCAUUUUCUUAAAUUACAGUUUUUAGUGUUGUUCUGCCCCAUUGCUUUGCUUUUCUUCUUCAGAGACUCCUAUUAUGUAGAAGUCCCCCUCCCCUUGUUCUAUCACUUUCUCUCAAAUCUCUUUAAAAACAUAUUUUUAUUUUUUACCUAAAAUAUUUUUUCCAUUUUCCAUUUCUCUUCAGGCAUUAUUCAUUGUGUUCAUUUACUCUUUAGUUUCUUCUAGUUUAGUGUUAAUUUCUUAAUUUAAACUUGUUUGAUUCUUUCCUGAGUCCUUUAUCCUCUCUUUCAAACCUCCAUUUCCUCCAUUCAUAUUAGAGUUUUUCAAUUCUGAUUUGUUUCUUCUUUUAUAGUUCCUAUUAUUUAAAAACAUUUCUUUUCACUUGUUUUGAAAUUUUAAGUUCCAGUUUUCAGCUUUUUGUAGGGAUGUCUGACAUGUUUUCAUUAUCUCUAGGGAUAUCUUCUACAUUAUUUAAAUUCUCUUUCCUUUUGUUUCCCAUCAUAAUUCAAUCUCAAUUUAUUUCUGUUGCUCAUUUUAAAGUGAAAGUAGAUUUCUUUAGCAAAGAGGUAAAAACACAUGGCCCCAUAUGCUUAAGAUUUGCUUCCUGUGUUCCCUUCCUCCAUUUGUGUCUUGAACUUCUCUUUCCUUUGCCCCAUUUCUCUGUCCUCCUUAAUUUGAUCCUAUUUCCAGAAGUUUCUCCUCAAUACAGGGAUUUGACUUGAAAGAGAGUUUUGUUCACAGGGGCCAGACUGCUUCAGCACCGACACUCAGACCUAUCGCCAUCCCAUUGCUCUCACCUACAGACUAGAUCCUGCAGGACUGCCACCUGGUUUCAGCUGAGUUCAGAUUAGCUUUCUGUACUUUCUAACGAGUCCUUGAUGGUAGUUUUGCGGUUCUCCUGAUGCUGUCCCCACUAGCCUCUAUUCUGUGGUUUGAGGGAAUAUGUAGUCAUCUAGUUUUCUUGUGUAUAUUCUUGGUAUGUGAAUAUAUCUUCUCAAGUAGAUUUCUCGAUUUCUCUACAGAAAACAAUUUUUAGAAAUGAUACCCACCAUUUAUUGAGUACUUACUACAUUCCAGCCCACAGGAAGACUGUGGCUCAAGCACUCACUCUCUCUUGCUUGCUUGCUCAUCCUGAUGGAAGCCAGCUGCCAUGUUGUGUGUUGCCUUAGGAGAGGCCCAUGUAGAAGGAUCUGAGGGACGCUUCCAGACAACAGCCAGCAAGGAACUGAAGCCCUCCGCCCAACAGCCUGUGAGGAACUGGAUACAGCUAACAACCACAUGAAUGACUUGGAAGUGGAUCAUGGAGCCUUUGAAUGAGACCACAACUCCAGCUGACAAUUUUUUUUAAAUUAAAUUUUAUUGGAAUAUA